UACGUAGGUGGCAAGCGUUGUUCGGAAUUAUUGGGCGUAAAGGGCGCGUAGGCGGUUUGUUAAGUCGGUUGUGAAAGCCCGGGGCUCAACCCCGGAGGGUCGACCGAUACUGGCAGGCUAGAGUACAGAAGAGGUAGCUGGAAUUCCCGGUGUAGCGGUGAAAUGCGUAGAUAAUCGGGAGGAACACCAGAGGCGAAGGGCGGGCUACUGGGCUGAUACUGACGCUGAUGCGCGAAAGCCAUGGGAGCAAACGGG
rnacentral:rRNA from 1 species